GACGUAGGGCGCAAGCGUUGUCCGGAUUUAUUGGGCGUAAAGAGCUCGUAGGCGGUUUCGUAAGUCGGGUGUGAAAACUCUAGGCUCAACCUAGAGACGCCACCCGAUACUGCGAUGACUAGAGUCCGGUAGGGGAGUGUGGAAUUCCUGGUGUAGCGGUGAAAUGCGCAGAUAUCAGGAGGAACACCAACGGCGAAGGCAGCACUCUGGGCCGGAACUGACGCUGAGGAGCGAAAGCGUGGGUAGCGAACAGG
rnacentral:rRNA from 1 species